ACUCUUUAAAUAUGAUUCUGUUUUAGUUCAGUAGUCAGCAAGAAGUUUCCACUUGCCCUCACAGCAUGUGUAUAUAUUCCUGGCACAGCUGUUUUUUAUGUUAUAUUUGUUGACUGGAUUUGUACUUUAGAACUCUGUUUACUUUUUCCUUGCGUGAUUCUUGAUGCUGAUCUUUAUGUACCUUACAUAUUGAGUUCUAAUAACAUUCAGUAGAGUGGAAACAGUGUAUGUCAAAGUGAGAGGCUUGGGGCUGGCUGAUGUGUAGGAUCUGCAUUACGUAUAAUAAUUUUAGUAUCCUUGAUUACAUGUUUCUCUUCACAUCAUGCAGGUUCAGACUGCAGUCACUAGCCUUCGAGAUAGUGCAGCUAGCAGGACCAACAAAUAUAAUAAUUCUUGUUCCCGUGCCUUUUGUGCUUUUGAAUCUACAGGUUCUGUUUACUGGUUAAUAAGUGGCUGCCCAUAUUUUCUGUUAAGCAUCUAAAUGCUGCUUCAUCACUCUUCAACCUCCCUACAGUUUAGGCCUUGAGUUUGUUAAAUCUUCAAUAAUGAUUUAAAUUUAUUAGUAUGUUUAGUUUACACCACUGUAUUAUUAAUUAUGUUGAUGCACUUGAUCAAUUAGAGAGGCAUUUAUUAAUUUGAACAGACUAUGAAUACCAGUAUGUCCUCCUGAAAAUAGUACUUUUAAAAAUUUGAAAAAGUUUUGUAUCCCUUUGUUGAUCUUUCAGAACCUAUGCCAAGUGGUUAUAUUAUCUGUCAUAUAUACUGAUAUAACUUGGAAUUUCAUGUAGAUAGAAAAUGAAGUUGAUGCUUUGUGGAAAGCUGGUGUUAGAGAGAAGAAUGAAGAGGUUGCUGCUAGAGGAAAGAAAUUUUUGGACUGGUAAGGUACCACUCUUUAAAUAUGAUUCUGUUUUAGUUCAGUAGUCAGCAAGAAGUUUCCACUUGCCCUCACAGCAUGUGUAUAUAUUCCUGGCACAGCUGUUUUUUAUGUUAUAUUUGUUGACUGGAUUUGUACUUUAGAACUNGAUUGCAACUUAAUUAAAUUGAUGACCAUAAUACACGUACCAAUUAGCCGUCUGAGACACUCUCUGGGCAGUUAGGGUUCUACAUAGAAAAUGUACUUUACACACUAUGUUUCGAUUGAAUUUAAAUAUAUUGUUUUGAGUUUUUUUUUUUUGUAAAUUGUGAUGUAUAUGAGUAUUGGGUUGUUUUCUUAAUCACAUUGUACAAACCCAUGUUUCCUGCUAUUGAUUUCUCAUUGGCAAGUCCUCCCCUUUGCCGGUAAUUAUGUCAAAUGUCGAGGUCAUUAUCUGGUUGAUGUACUUGACUCACGUAGCUUCUCAGAGUUGCUUACUGAUAUAACUUGGAAUUUCAUGUAGAUAGAAAAUGAAGUUGAUGCUUUGUGGAAAGCUGGUGUUAGAGAGAAGAAUGAAGAGGUUGCUGCUAGAGGAAAGAAAUUUUUGGACUGGUAAGGUACCACUCUUUAAAUAUGAUUCUGUUUUAGUUCAGUAGUCAGCAAGAAGUUUCCACUUGCCCUCACAGCAUGUGUAUAUAUUCCUGGCACAGCUGUUUUUUAUGUUAUAUUUGUUGACUGGAUUUGUACUUUAGAACUCUGUUUACUUUUUCCUUGCGUGAUUCUUGAUGCUGAUCUUUAUGUACCUUACAUAUUGAGUUCUAAUAACAUUCAGUAGAGUGGAAACAGUGUAUGUCAAAGUGAGAGGCUUGGGGCUGGCUGAUGUGUAGGAUCUGCAUUACGUAUAAUAAUUUUAGUAUCCUUGAUUACAUGUUUCUCUUCACAUCAUGCAGGUUCAGACUGCAGUCACUAGCCUUCGAGAUAGUGCAGCUAGCAGGACCAACAAAUAUAAUAAUUCUUGUUCCCGUGCCUUUUGUGCUUUUGAAUCUACAGGUUCUGUUUACUGGUUAAUAAGUGGCUGCCCAUAUUUUCUGUUAAGCAUCUAAAUGCUGCUUCAUCACUCUUCAACCUCCCUACAGUUUAGGCCUUGAGUUUGUUAAAUCUUCAAUAAUGAUUUAAAUUUAUUAGUAUGUUUAGUUUACACCACUGUAUUAUUAAUUAUGUUGAUGCACUUGAUCAAUUAGAGAGGCAUUUAUUAAUUUGAACAGACUAUGAAUACCAGUAUGUCCUCCUGAAAAUAGUACUUUUAAAAAUUUGAAAAAGUUUUGUAUCCCUUUGUUGAUCUUUCAGAACCUAUGCCAAGUGGUUAUAUUAUCUGUCAUAUAUACUGAUAUAACUUGGAAUUUCAUGUAGAUAGAAAAUGAAGUUGAUGCUUUGUGGAAAGCUGGUGUUAGAGAGAAGAAUGAAGAGGUUGCUGCUAGAGGAAAGAAAUUUUUGGACUGGUAAGGUACCACUCUUUAAAUAUGAUUCUGUUUUAGUUCAGUAGUCAGCAAGAAGUUUCCACUUGCCCUCACAGCAUGUGUAUAUAUUCCUGGCACAGCUGUUUUUUAUGUUAUAUUUGUUGACUGGAUUUGUACUUUAGAACUCUGUUUACUUUUUCCUUGCGUGAUUCUUGAUGCUGAUCUUUAUGUACCUUACAUAUUGAGUUCUAAUAACAUUCAGUAGAGUGGAAACAGUGUAUGUCAAAGUGAGAGGCUUGGUGCUGGCUGAUGUGUAGGAUCUGCAUUACGUAUAAUAAUUUUAGUAUCCUUGAUUACAUGUUUCUCUUCACAUCAUGCAGGUUCAGACUGCAGUCACUAGCCUUCGAGAUAGUGCAGCUAGCAGGACCAACAAAUAUAAUAAUUCUUGUUCCCGUGCCUUUUGUGCUUUUGAAUCUACAGGUUCUGUUUACUGGUUAAUAAGUGGCCGCCCAUAUUUUCUGUUAAGCAUCUAAAUGCUGCUUCAUCACUCUUCAACCUCCCUACAGUUUAGGCCUUGAGUUUGUUAAAUCUUCAAUAAUGAUUUAAAUUUAUUAGUAUGUUUAGUUUACACCACUGUAUUAUUAAUUAUGUUGAUGCACUUGAUCAAUUAGAGAGGCAUUUAUUAAUUUGAACAGACUAUGAAUACCAGUAUGUCCUCCUGAAAAUAGUACUUUUAAAAAUUUGAAAAAGUUUUGUAUCCCUUUGUUGAUCUUUCAGAACCUAUGCCAAGUGGUUAUAUUAUCUGUCAUAUAUAAUCUGAGAACCCAAGCCUAAUAUUUUUCAUUUGAGUCCCAUGAUGCCAAAUUAGCAAAAGAUAGUUCUCUUUUAAUUUGUGAUAAAUAGCAGAGCAAAAAAUAAUUCUGUUUUAUCCUUCUAUUUUAUUAUAUUUACAGAUACAUGCCUAUGACUUGUUCUUAUUUCUAUCCUUUUCUGUAUUGUUGCAGGG
rnacentral:lncRNA from 1 species